rnacentral:rRNA from 1 species
GAUGAACGCUAGCGGCAGGCUUAAUACAUGCAAGUCGAGGGGCAGCAGGUCCCGCAGCAAUGCGGGAUGCUGGCGACCGGCAAACGGGUGCGGAACACGUACACAACCUUCCUUUAAGCGGGGAAUAGCCCGGGGAAACCCGGAUUAAUACUCCAUAGUAUAUUGAAAAGGCAUCUUUUUAAUAUUAAAGAUUUAUCACUUAAAGAUGGGUGUGCGGCUGAUUAGGUAGUUGGCGGGGUAACGCCCACCAAGCCUACGAUCAGUAACUGGUGUGAGAGCACGACCAGUCACACGGGCACUGAGACACGGGCCCGACUCCUACGGGAGGCAGCAGUAAGGAAUAUU